rnacentral:rRNA from 1 species
CUACCUUCGAAUUGGGGAUAACGUUGCGAAAGCGACGCUAAUACCGAAUGACAUCCAUAAAGCUUUGGUUUCUUGGAUCAAAGGUGGCCUCUACAUGUAAGCUACUGUUUGAAGAUGAGCCCGCGUACCAUUAGCUAGUUGGCAGGGUAAUGGCCUACCAAGGCAACGAUGGUUAGCUGGUCUGAGAGGAUGAUCAGCCACACUGGAACUGACACACGGUCCAG